ACCAACACAAAUGUCAUUUCAUUUCUUAUUCUGUUAUCUGGGAUUUUGUUAAUAUCUGUUCUCUAGAAAUUUAUGGGCAGUUCUUGAUAUUUUGCAUCUAUUUUUUCUUUUAGGAUUCCAAGUCAAAGUAAAAGUAGCCAAUCAUUAGAAAAUGAGUAGGUUCACCCACCAAACAAACAAUGAGAGGUUUAUAAAAAGAAUUUUGAUAAACAUGUAACAAAAGUAUACAUUUUUGAGCCUCGAGAAUGGUGGAUCCUCAACACACAAGAUAUUUAAGGACAUUAGUUAGGCUACAUUAAAUUAGCUGGUAAUGCACCUGAGCAAAGAUCCAAGAACACUGAUACAGAAAGCUGGAUUUUAGCAACUCCUGGAUUAAAACUUAAAGAAAGGUUAGAUCUCAAUACAUUGAAUGUUAAGAGUAAAUUACAAAAACCACCCUAAGAUUAGGGAUAAAUUAUAUUUACACCCAAUAGUAUGAAAAACCUACACUUACCCCCCUGAGGUUUAUUUUUAUCCAAUACUUCAACCCAUAACUUAAUAGAAUGUUAGUCAAACCGUUAACCUUUAAUGGGCCCCAAAUGCCACAUCAGAAAAAAAUUGAAAAUGACCAAAAUGACCUUACAAAAAUCUUCCUAAGGUUUAUGUUUAUUACACUUACACCCAAUAUUUUAUAAACACCAACACUUACACCCAUUUAAAUUGACGGCGUUAGUGAACCCGUUCAUCUAUUGUAAAAAUACAAAAUUAUCUCUAUAAGAAAAUACGGCUCCUUUUUCACUUUGCCGACUCUCGGAACUUUCAAAAUAUUACAUCUUCAAGAGUCUUCUUCUCUUUCACCACCCCACAACAAGCAUCCUUCCCCACCACAAGCAUCCUUUUCCGACGAGCGACCAACAACAAGCUUUCUUUCCAACCAACAUCCGACGUCGAGCAUCCUUCCCAACCAGCCUCCAUCUUUCUUGAUCAGAUUUUGUUCUCGCUUCUCCGCCCGCUACAUCAUAGGGAUCAAGAACACUAGUGUAUUAUUUGCUGAUUUUGAGUUCUACUUAUCCAAUAUUGUAGGCAUGAUUUCUUAAUAUUGUCACUGUAAAUAAGAAUUCUUAUGUCUACAUAUGGAGCUAUAAUAGCUCUGGCAGCCUAUCAUCAAAAGGAUUCAAAUCAGUAUGCACGUGAGAACUCUUCUUUUUUGAAUGUGCAUCAGUUGUGAUUCCAUAGCCUGGCUUGGACCAUGGAUAGACUGGCUCAAGCAACAAAACUCUUAAUGAUAGUUUCUGCGGUAAAAAUUUUCGAGACAUCCACUUGCUUGAAAAAUCUAGAUUGCUUUUCUCUUAGCACAUGAUUGUUUUCUGAUAAUUCAUCAAGA
rnacentral:lncRNA from 1 species